CUUAAAUUGAACAAGUUUUUAUUCAAUUUUCAUAGAUUGCAUAGGGAGAAAACUAUGACUGCAAUUUUCAAGUUUAUUUAUACCAUAAUGCUAUUUCUUUCUCUAGCUUUUAUUGCAGCAGAAGAUGAUGAAGGAGAAUAUACAUGUGGGACUGUUCUUGAUUGUCCUAGUUAUAUGUGCUGGAUUCCUUAUAUUUUGAGAUGUAUUAAUAACAUAUGUCAAUGUGAGUUCUCUGAGAACUAUAGAUCAAAAGAGCCUUAUCACUAAGGAAAGAUAUGUCAUAUUUCGAAUGGUAUCUUAUAGUUGAAUAUUUUAUUAAUGUUUAAUUUUUCAGAUUUCACAUACUUUGAAGUUAUUACUUUUGUAAGAUGGUAAUGAAAUGAAAUGAAGGAAAAUAUAAUAUUA